AUCUGCCUCCCGAUCCCAUCUCGAUCUCCAAGCUCCAGUGCGCCGCCACCUCCUGCCGACCGCCGCCCUCCCCGGCACCGCACGCCGCCACGAAUGUCGCGGCCGUUGGCGGCUCCCCCCGCCCCUGCUACUCUUCUCCGCUCCCGCCGCCUAGCCCCGCUGCCUCGUCUCCACCGGCGGGAUUCGCCGCUACCGGCCACCACCGCUCACCCCAAGCCCUCACCGUGUCGCCGGCGCGGCUUCGGUGACUCCUCCCCUGCUCAUACCUCGCCCCCACACAUAGCUCAGCCCACUGGAUGGAGCUCCUCCGCCCGGUGGCCAUGGCCAUGGGGUGCUCAAGCUCCUCCUCCGAUCUCUUCGCCGCCGCCCUCGCAGUCGCAUCAAUUUCCCUGGAUCCCUAUGCUUCCUCCCUUCGCCGCUGCCGAUCUCGUCGCUACGUCAACGGCAAACAUUUGACGCCGCCGAAGCGGAUCGCUUUGCAAACGCCGAGGUCAUCUUAUAGGCCGGAAAUGCCGAGGACACCGUUGCCGCCGUCGCCACCAUCGCGGAAACCCAGGGCAGGGCGGGCAGCGAGGAGCGGCGCAAGGAGGCCGUGCCCUGCCCUCCUCUGUGUGCUGGUGGUGGCGAUGCAACGCGUCAUCGACCGUGAGAUUGGCAAGCCCGAGUACCGUGCGCCUGCAUCGACACGGCCGCCGACGGCGACUGCGGGAGGACCAAGUGCGGCGUCCAGUACUCUACGGAGGAUUAGGUCGCCACCUGCCCCAUCUUCAUCCCGCCGUGGUGGCCAGACGUGCUUCAGCUGCCCCCGCCUGAGUUGAGGGCCGUCAGGCCGCCUCCCAGCCAUUCGACACUUUGCCUGACUCGACUUGCCGGGACACUUUGUCUUGCCCUGCUGCUUUAGUCGUCACUGGAGGACGCUCGCUCACCCAUGGUAGAUCAGCUAGCUAUAGGAGAUGACAUCUUUCUACUUUUCUUAUUCUUCCUGAACACGCAUAUGAAUGUUUUUGCAUUGAGACGGCAGGUCUUUCGGAUCAAGUGUUCCUUGCUCUGGCUUCGCCUUUUAAUCUGACUGAAUAUCUCCUUACGCUCUCCAAGAUUGUUCCUGCUAUGGAGUUUUUUUAUUGGAUCUAUUUAUCUCAGGGCUUUGACGCCCCGGCUUCGUUUAGACAAUUUUUAGAGCCAGCAUUUACUCAAGGGAAUACUCUGUAUAUUGUUCAAUCUCAGUGUAGGUCCCAUUUUUCGGAAACAGUUUCAUUCAAUGCCGGGUCGAAACCCCUUAAACUCAGUAAGUAGGUUUCUUCCUUUGUUGAAAUCUCAUUUCAUUGACGAUAUAUUGCGCUGCGUGUUGGUUAAGAUGAAGCAAGGAGAAAAUCAUUGACGAUAUAUUGCCCUGCAUGUUUCAGUCAGUUUGUUGGACAACUAUACACAUAUUUGUUUCUCAAGCCCACUGAUUUCAGCCUCUCCGUCUUCUUCAAGCCCGGUGACUAAUUAAUUGGUUUAUCGAACAUACUAUCUGAGAAACAAAUUACUAUUGUAUAUGUAGUGCUACCUUAAUUAAAUCCUGGCAACUAAGCUCAUGUUGUGCUUAAGAUUAAAUUGGAUAUAUUGGAAAUGCAGGUGAGAAGUUCAGGGAUAUUUUGGGAGUGCCUAUUAUGUGGCUCCGGAGGUCCUGAAGCAGAGAUAUGGAGUCGAUGAUGUCAUAUGGAGUGCUGGAGUUAUACUCUACAUUCUGCUCUCUGGCGUUCCUCGUUUCUGGGCAGCAGGGCAUGUGCGUUUUGUGGCUGGUUAUGUCGAUCAAUUUUGGGGCUAGGUUAUGUCGAUCAGUUUUGUGGCUAGGUAGGUCUCGGCCUCCCUCCUCCUUUCGUCCAAGGCUAGGAGUUCCUCUCCCUAAUCCGGCCUGAUCUGGCGGAGAGAGUGCUAGUCCUUGCCACUUUGAUGGUCGUUGUGGCCAGAUCCGGCCGGGGGAGCCGCCGUAGAGCCUACACGUCGGUGGUGCAGCAGCAUCCCGACUGAAGAUGGGUGCCCGAGAUCGUCCCGCUUCCCCACACUUGAUCCUUCUCGGUUGCUGAUGGUGGUGUGAUGUGACAUAGGACGGGAGGAGGCUCCACGGCCGCGGCGGGCUAGCUCUCAGACGGGCAGCAGUGGCACGCCGUCCUCGUGCUCGCCAAAGCCAAGGGCUGUGGCUGGGAGAAAUGUUUAGGAGAUGGGAAAGAAAGGAAGGAACUGGGUCAACAAGGCGUUCACCACAAGCCACAAGGUCUCAGUUUCAUCGCAUCAACCGUGAGGGGUAGUAUGCAAGGAUCAACCAAUGUGGAUAACAAAAUCUGGGUGCGAGCUUCCGGGAAAUCUAAUUGGGUCUAUGCAAACAAGCAGAUGUGGAAGAUAAUCCCUGUACAUUGUUCAGGUCGAUUUGGCAAAUCUUUGACAGUAGCUGUUGGUCUUAUACUGAUGGCAAUCAAUGUGUCUUUUCCGACAAACCAAGGGUCGAUUCCAACAUAUGUUUUGUCCAUCUUUGAAGCCCAUUGGCUACUCAUUGAUCUGCUUCACUACUCCACAAGUUUCUCACUAGGUUCUCUCGAGCGAUGGGUAUACUGGAUGUUCAAGGACACAGAAGGCUUCAUGAACCACUCUCUUGCUGAACUUUUUUUUUGCAUCAUAACAGUGAUUCCCAUGAUCUUUCUAUGUGCCUUAUUGAUGGACGGUGUUGGGGCGUUCAGGGCAGAAUGACCUGAGCGGUAGAUCGUACGGUGAACAGCGUCGACGGCAGCGCUAGAGUGCGGCGAGGCUGGUUGAGGUAUUCUCUAUGCUUCUUUUAAUGGACACAUGUAAUUUUAUUUGAGAUCUUAUCAUGGUUGCUGCUAAUUAAUAAUCUUAGGGAUGUAAUGUAAUUCGCAUAAUAUGAUAUAAUCAUUUAGGAGUAGACUUUGCUGGACUAUUGUAAGUCGUCAGAAACACUAUGUUCUAUCCAAAAGGUCAUCCACAACAUCUGUGCAUUGCGUAGAGCUGCUUACUACAAUUUUCUAGAAUGCACUUCUUGAAUUAUUCUGGAAGAUGAUAGUAUUUCACCUCAGUACCUUGCUGCUCACUCCAGCGUGAAGACGUGUUCGCUAAAUGGUGAGAUAUGCAUUGUGAAAGGGUAAGGCAAUGCAUCACGUUGAUCUUUGCUUGAACUUGUGGGCCUUCAAUAGCGUUUUAGUUCAUAUAAAAGAAAAUCCUGUAUAUUCUUAAACAUAAAGAGAUUAUUAUGGUUCAGAUUAUCAAGGAUAUCAGUAAUUCUAUAUGCGCUAAAUAGGACUCCCAUUUUAAAGAAAAAUAAGACUCUUUUUAUAAACACGGUUUGACCAUGGUGCUAAUAUAUGUUUUUUUGGGAGGUGUUAUUUAGAUACAUUAAAACUGCGCAUCUUUCCCGCCCUCUCAGUCUAUUAGCGUUCGGGGCCAUUGGAUCUUCAGAUUUAAGCAUUUUCUGCCGUUCGAUUGCUCUUAAUCACUUGUCCACCCGCUCCAUUCGCUGCGAACGAGCAAUUUCCGCGCUGGGCCGCUGCUCCGGUGGCAUUUUUGAGCACCUGUGGUAAACUUGGGCCUACUGGGCUUCUAUCACCCUCCCCGUGAAGCCAGAAAAAGGCCUAUAGGUGUCCCCUCUGGCUCGUGCAAAAAGAAUCACCCCUCAAAAAGAAACUUCUGACUUGGAAGGGAGACAAGGGACCCACGCUCACCCAGGCCUACGCUCGGCGAGAAAAAAAUUCAACCAGGCGUACGUUCUCGCUCGCCAGCGCGCCUCUGUAGCUGAUGCGGCAGGGAGAUGUGAACGGGUGCUGCGGCUGUUAAGUUACGCGUCGGGCGAUUCAAGCAAUCCGCUAGCAUUGAAGCAGGCAGUAAAGCGUCAGUUCCUGGAUGUCAGUAAUGGCAGCUGAGGUGGCCCCUUCACGGCGACUAAUGGAGGUACGUUACUCUUUGCUCCCUACACCUUCAUCCAUGCCUCAAGCUCUACCCGUUCCCCUUCUUAUCCCGGCAGGUUGCGAGGCUUCAUGAUCUAUACGUACAUGCAAAACUAGGUGCGGAGCAGCCGCUGCCACUAUCUCCACCUCCACCAUACCUCCUCCAUCCACCUUCCAUCUUGCCACUCCGCCGUCCGCGCCACACGAAUGAUAGCAGUGGCGGCGAUGAGCUCGAGGUUCCUGUCUGCCCUCCGUCCACACCCUCACAAGAACGCAGACCGGGGGCAACACACAGAUAUUUUCUCGGCGCGCGGUGCCAUGGCUGCACUCUCCGUUCAAGCGUCGUGGCCUUUCCCUCGGGAGUGCCACCACAAGGAACAUGCAGUGUUGUUGCUGCCAUCGCUUGGAUUGAUCUGUUGUAUCAGGUAUCUAAUUCCACUACAUGUUCAGGUGCAAGCUGGCACUCCUUCCCCCCUAAUUCUUCAUGUUUUUUUUUGAUUUAAUACACGUUGAUCUGGUGUAUAAGGCGAAACAAGCUAUCCUCAUUUCCGUGUAAAAAUGUUGAGUGUAAAUUUACAUGAUCGGAUGGUGCAGCUAUAGAGGAUAAUGUACCUGACAAUAUUAUGUUCUUCCAGUGAUAUGUGCGUCUGUGGUACAGUCCUAUAGAUGAACUAUGCCGCCUUUUCUUCUAAAGAAAGUGGUCACGGGCAACAAAGCUUGGAGAUGGAAAAAUGGGACGUUCAGGACAAUUCUGUUAAUAACAAUUAAUCAGUGAGAAUUCAUCCACAAGUCAGAGGACGAGUUAUGCCCAGUCUAUAAGUAGCUGCUGUAUCAAUCUGAUGUUCUUAACUGCGAUCAAGUUAUCUAGGUUUUGUGAAACUGUAUUGUGUUUCUUCUUUGCCUUCAAAGUAUUGGGUGUUUAGUUUGUGGAGGUCUUCACUCUAGAAGAAUAUCUGCUGCAGAAUAAGAAUCAAGGAACUCACUUUGACAACAGUCAAUUCAGUCCUGCAGGAUCUACUUUUAUGAGGUUUUUUUUCUUGAAGCUCACAGGGAUGUUACAGUACAGUUUUCUAGCCUAACAAAUUACUGUGCAUCAAGAUUAUGCACAACUAUAAUUUUGAAAUUCUUAGUUUUUUACUCUGUAAAUUGACUUGGUACGGUUGUCCCGAGUUACUAUCUAUAUGGUUUUGGAUGAUAUUAUUUUUUGCUUAUUGUCUACUCGUUCAUUUCUUAUGGUGCCUUAUUUUCCUUGAAGUAAUCACCAAUAGGCUUUUUUUUUUGCGGGUACGUCUUGGUUCCUUGUCAUUUAUCUUAACUUUGAUUGAACUGGAAAUGCUUGGAUGUGGACAAGGUUUUAACUAGCUGAAAACAGUUAGCAUAUGCUCCACGAACAAGAUCAUUCUUGCGGUUGUUCCUCAAUAGUAGCCAACACCAACUAAUUACGAGCUUACAUGCUUAUGCACGGCUUAUUAUCUUGGUUACCUAGGCUCAGUAUGUUGUACGUUAUGCUAGAGUUGUUGAUGUCUGGCUUAUGAACUAGAAGUUGUAUGACUCAUUUCACCAAGUCUGCACAUAUUGCUAUCCGUUUAUAUGGCAUGUCAUACUAGGGUAUCACAACUUAAUUUUGAUAUGCAAAGAACCAAAAAUUGAUGCAUGAUAUGUUAGAUAUCCUCAAUAAAUAGGGUAUUACUACUUCACCAAUACUAAUGUUGUUCUUCCAGUUUGAUGGAUUACUUAGUAUGGCCCAGCACUGCAAUAUAUUUCCAUUAUUCGUACCAUAUAAAUUUUAAAAUAUAUCUUGUAGCACUUUAUUUAUGUAAAAUUCUACAAUUCCAUAGUAACAAUUGCCGGGCGCGGCAACGCGCGCCAUCAAAGAUCUAGUAUAUGUUUAGAUUCAUGCACUAUGUGUAUCACGCCUCUCUUCCUUUUCUAAAAUAUUGGCAGAGGUUCUAUCUCAUACACUAAAUCAUUUAUCGAGCCUAUCAUGGCUGCACCUCAAGGUUUGAUAACUAAUGUCGAUUCAGAAGGUGGAUUUGGCUCAUUGAAGAUACAGAUAAGCAAUUUCUGAGCUCAUAGGUUCCAAGCUUUUCAGUUUUAUGCAAAAUUAUGGAGCAGAAAAACAAGCUGGAAGCUUACUCGAGGAUGCAGGCCAGCGGCAACCCCAGAGCCGAAGGCGACAAGGUUGCGCCAGAUAUCAAAGAGAGGUAGCGCUCUCGGGCCUGCUAGGAGCUCCGGGCUUGGUGGGUGUGGACCAUGACAUUACCGAGGAGUAUUCUUUAUUGGUAAGUAGUAAUAUUUUUGUAAUAAUUUUAUGAUAUCUAAUUAGUAUGUAUUCAAAUUUCAGAGAUCAGGUCGCAUAAACCUAUGGUUUUAUAUCAGUCAGAAGAAUUUUUCUUAGGGAAAUGAAUCAGAAUUUUCUUUCUUUCUUUUGACACCUCAAUUCCAGGAGUUUACCUCAUAAAUUGUAGUGAAACAUACUAGGGGUUGUAGAGUUUUGUGCAAGCUUUUGUGAUGUUGCUUAAUGGCCCAUUUAGAUCUCAGAGCGCCCCCAUGGAUAUAUAGAAUCCCUAGAUAUAUUUGUUGCUUUCUUCUUAUGGACAUGCGACACAAAAUAGGGGUGUAAAACUGAUCCUUCAUUUCCUAAAUUAUUGCAUAUUUGCCAUGUAGUUGUUAUACACUUGCACACAGCAGGACAUGUGUUGGAUGAUUCAUUUUUUUUUCAAAAGGAGAUCUUUUAAGCUGUUGUGUUCUUUCAAACUGUGGAUAACAUUUUGAUCUAAGUGAUCUGGUUCUUUCAAUUGGUGCAUAGCAUGUUCGUUUGAAGUUCAAGCUAGCAGAGUACGAAGCUAUGAGGUAUUUCAAAUUCUCACUAAAAUAUCAUGGUUAGUCAUUCCAAUUUUAGGAUGUCAAAGCGUGAUGCUCUGUUGCUUUUACUAAUAUAAUUCAUAUAUAAUUAUUUUCUGUAAUGUGCAAAACAUUUUUCAGGACUAUCUUGUAUUGUUUGCUUACCAUUUUUGUGACAACAGAUUUCAGCACCACUUGUAAUAAUUUUUUAGGUGAUUUUGUGGACAAUUACACGCCCAUAUUUUUUGAAUUAAUGACACGAGUGAGUUGAUACAUUUGGUAUCUGAUCUGGUUCUUUUGGGUAUAAGUCUUGCUCUGAAUAGUAAAUAGAUUGCACAGCAAAUUGGCUACUCUUGUUCUGGGAUACACAAUGCAAUUUACUGAUGUUGUUCAAAUUCAAAAAAUAAUUGAUCAGCGCCCAGUAGGGUCGCAUAUAAUAAAGUAUAUAUGAAAGUAUCUUAUGGUUACUCUUGUUUGUAUCAUUUCUCUCUAUGUAUACAUCACCGAGUUAAAUUGCAACUGAAAUGAAUUUCAAUUAUUUUCCAAUUGUUGCAGGCUAUCUUUUUUACACAUACAAAAUUUAUAUGCAUUAUAUUUGUAGGCUCAGUCAGAAAUCCAAUUGUUGCAGGCUAUCUUUUUUAUACAUACAUAAUUUAUAUAUGCAUUAUAUUUGUAGGCGCAAUCAAAAAAAGUACAUAACUUGUGAAAUUCAUAACUUGUGAAAUUCGAUAUGAACUGUAUUAAUAGGUGCUGUUCAGAAAAUAAUUAGAAGUUGGAUAUCUCCUUUUGUGCUAUUAUUGCUGAAAUCAAGAGGCUCAUUACAAGGAAUUGUCAUGUUUUGUGUACCUUGUAAUAGUGAUACGCAAUGGCCGAUGUUGAGUGAUAUUGAUCCUGUGUGAUGUUGAGUGAUAUUGAUCCUAUUUAAUAAUGGCUGGUAUAUGUUCUUUGGUGACAGACGAUUUUCUGGUUUAGGAGAGACCAAGACUGUCGAGAACGAAAGAAGCCGAUCUGGCCCCCUGGGACCUGCGGGCCUUGCGGGUGGCGGCGGCCACAGCUUGAGAGGGCGUCUCCCCCUUGUCGACGGGGUUUGGCGUUGGUGCUCGGUGCGCCAUCUUGGCCAUGCUUGUCCUCCUCUGCUAGCUGGUCUGCGGGCUUCCUCCGGAAGUCGUGCUCGGCUGGUUGGCGGAGCAAUGGGGAUGAGAGCUCUGGGUCGGGGGAAACCCUUGACCGGCGGUGCCGGUCAUGAUGUUGGCGACGCUCGCGGCGCCGUUCUCCCUCCGGUUGGCGACAUUGAGACCCUCUCCUCGCCUUCCACCCCAUGGUCCCGGGCGUUGUUUUAUUCUUGAAGACGCUACCUUGGGAGUCCAGGAUGGCCGGGGGCUCUGUCACAUCCCUAGCUUCUGGUGCUGCCUAGUGUUUGCAUCAUGUUUAAAUUUCUGAAACUUGAACUGAGGAAAUUUGGAAGCCUCAAAAACUUAAAUAAAAGA